GGCCUGCGGAGGGAUCAUUGCUGGAACGCGCCCCAGGCGCACCCAGAAACCCUUUGUGAACUUAUACCUUACUGUUGCCUCGGCGCAUGCCGGCCCCCCCGGGGGCCCCUCGGAGACGAGGAGCAGGCACGCCGGCGGCCAAGUUAACUCUUGUUUUUACACUGAAACUCUGAGAAAAAAACACAAAUGAAUCAAAACUUUCAACAACGGAUCUCUUGGUUCUGGCAUCGAUGAAGAACGCAGCGAAAUGCGAUAAGUAAUGUGAAUUGCAGAAUUCAGUGAAUCAUCGAAUCUUUGAACGCACAUUGCGCCCUCUGGUAUUCCGGAGGGCAUGCCUGUUCGAGCGUCAUUUCAACCCUCAAGCAUUGCUUGGUGUUGGGGCACUGCUUCUUACCCAAGAAGCAGGCCCUGAAAUCUAGUGGCGAGCUCGCCAGGACCCCGAGCGCAGUAGUUAAACCCUCGCUUUGGAAGGCCCUGGCGGUGCCCUGCCGUUAAACCCCCAACUUUUGAAAAUUUGACCUCGGAUCAGGUAGGAAUACCCGCUGAACUUAAGCAUAUCAAA
rnacentral:rRNA from 1 species